rnacentral:misc_RNA from 1 species
UGACAGCCAUUUCCAUGCCUG